UACAGAGGUCCCAAGCGUUGUUCGGAUUCAUUGGGUACGGUAAAGGGUGCGUGAGGUUGGACGCGCUAAGUCGGGAUUGUGAAAUUUUCGGAGCUUAACUCCGAAACUGCAUUCGAUACUGGUGUGCUUGAGGACUGGAUGAGGAGACGUGGAAUUCAUGGUGUAGCAGUGAAAAUGCGUAGAGAUCAUGAGGAAGACCAGUGGCGAAGGCGG
rnacentral:rRNA from 1 species